GCAAAUAAGCAGUGUCAGAAAUAUCACAGGAGGUAACAACUAAUCAGGGAACGCAAAUAAAUCCCGCAUCAAGACGAAGCUGCUGGCGUCAUCCCAGACGGAGCUGUGAUAUUCCUGUGUUUAACCAAGGAGGAAAAUGAGAAAUGUGGGGAAAAGUUCUGGAAGGACACUAUUUUCAACAAGACCAUGAAAGAGGGAGAGGCAGGCUGUCUUUGCUGCUGACCAACAGAUUGCAAAAGAUGAGGGUCAAAGGCUGAACACAGCAGAUCAGACUUCCUCGUCACCUUCUCCUUCUCCCUCCCACAUGGUAUGGGUCUGCCC